rnacentral:rRNA from 1 species
CCUACGAGUGGCAGCAGUGGGGAAUAUUGCACAAUGGGGGAAACCCUGAUGCAGCGACGCCGCGUGAGUGAAGAAGUAAUUCGUUAUGUAAAGCUCUAUCAGUAGGGAAGAAAAUGACGGUACCUGAGUAAGAAGCCCCGGCUAACUACGUGCCAGCAGCCGGGGUAAUACGCAGGGGGCAAGCGUUAUCCGGAUUGACUGGGUGUAAAGGGAGCGUAGACGGCAGUGCAAGUCUGGAGUGAAAGGCGGGGGCUCAACCCCCGGACUGGUGUGGAAACUGUAGGGCUGGAGUGCAGGAGAGGUAGGUGGAAUGCGUGGUGUAGCGGUGAAAUGCGUAGAUAUUAGGAAGAACACCAGUGGCGAAGGCAGCUUACUGGACUGUAACUGACGUUGAGGCUCGAAAGCGUGGGGAGCAAACAGGAUUAGAUACCCCAGUAGUC